CCCAUAUUCUGUGAGGAUCACUGUGCUAAGAACUUUGGAGGGUGAAAUAAAGGCAGUAGACAUGAGAUCAGCCAUCAAGGAGCUUGAGAAGUAGAGGAGGAGACAGAUGCUAAAAUAAAAUUACAGAUAGGAGGAAGUAAAAGCUAAGUAUGCAAUGGGUCAAUGGCAAGAUAGAAGAGGCACAAUGGAGUAGACUGGCAUUAGAGUAAAACACUUGUAAAGGCCUACAAUGGGAGAGGUGCAAGGAUACGUAAGGGGAAUAGAGUUGACUCGGUAUUUAAAAGGUGAUUUUUCUUUAACAUCCCAGGGCUCAGAACAAAGCUCAAAUUUCAUAUUGAAGGAGACCACAAUCCGGAGUAGAUCUCCACAAGACCUCCGGGAAAAAUAAUGAUUUAUUCACACCUAUUCCUCCAAAUUUAAUAACAAUAAAAAAAACCAUCUGAAUCCUGAAAGGCAAGAUUCCAGGAACUCGUUCACGUUUCUGACCAGAGUUUCCAGUAAGAUGGGCCUCAGCCUACUGAAUGGAAAAUAUGUCAUCACUCUCUUCCCCCACGCUGGAGCGGACGGACGGAGUCUGGCUGAGAUGUGCUGCUUUCCAGGGCUGUCCAGACGCCAGAACGGUACUGAAACACAUAAGCCUAAGUCAGACGGCCCAAACCUCCCAGUGGAAAACAAGGAAUGAGAUUACUCCCACUCUUAACUCUCCCACAUCCAUCAGCCCUGAAUUCUCCCAGGGUCGUGAAGUGCAGACAGACAAACAGAUAAGCCUGGUGACCUCGCAUCAUUAUCAUCC
rnacentral:lncRNA from 1 species